CUACUAGCAAUAGCUUAAAACUCAAAGGACUUGGCGGUGCUUUAUAUCCCUCUAGAGGAGCCUGUUCUGUAAUCGAUAAACCCCGAUAAACCUCACCAACCCUUGCUAAUACAGCCUAUAUACCGCCAUCUUCAGCAAACCCUAAAAAGGAGCCAUAGUAAGCAAAAAUAUAGAACAUAAAAACGUUAGGUCAAGGUGUAGCCAAUGGGCCGGGAAGAAAUGGGCUACAUUUUCUAAAAUAGAACAUAUACGAAAAUUUUCGUGAAAUCGAAAAUAGAAGGAGG
rnacentral:rRNA from 1 species